rnacentral:lncRNA from 1 species
GCUCUUCCGAUCUAUUUUAUUCUAGACGAAAUCACGUGGGAUAGCCAUAUAUCCCGUACAAUAUAUACUGGAUUUGUUACCGUAUUUAGCUCUUGUAUCCCGUAGUCGAUAUAUCAUGCAAAUUACUCGUAUUUAAUAAUAAACGAUCAAAUUUUAGAUAGUGUAAAAGUAAUUGAGCACGUGAUCCAGAGCGGAUGUACAAAUAUUGUGGCCACUUAAACUAUAACAUUUAAGAGGCCAUCAAAUCCAUUUAAUAUCUUUUUUUAGUGAAGUAUGAAGCUCUUUGUAAUUUUGGACCCUUAAGCUAUUUAUGUAGCUUAUGCAUAAAUAUAGACUUGAUGUGAACAUUGAUUCCCAUGACCUUAAGUCUGCUCAAUGAGAUAGCCUUGAUAUAGCAGGGUUGUUUGUGCCACUAUGUACUAUGUAUCUUUUCCAACUGGUCAAUAAAUUCAUAGUGUUUGGAUAAACUAAAGUGGCUCCUACUUUAAGUGACAUUUUACUGAGACAUCCCUGCACCUGCCAGGUGCAUGUGUAGAUAGAUAUACAUGAUGUCUUAAUGGUGUGGGAGAUCCAGGCCUGGGUAACCUGUCUUAUUUGUGAGGUGCAUCUGAAUGAAAUCCAUUCCUUUUGGAAACCUUGUUUUGCUUUCAUUAGAGUAGUCCAUGGUAUCCAAAGGCCUGUCAACUGGACUGGAGAUGCUGCUUGUUUUGGAACCACAAGACCCUGGCUGCAUUCAAUACACACUAUAUGUGGCUACUCUACACUUUACCUUUCAAUCUCCAAAUCUCAAAGGGUUGAGAUCAGAACUGGCCCAUUGUAUGCUUUAUAUGGAGUAGAAGUCUCCUAAAAGAAUUCCAAAUUCCAAGGUGGUGUACCAUUUCGAGGAGAUGAAUGGCUAAGGUGUAGAAGCUUUUAAAGGUGAAAGUACAAGAAGUGGUCAGUUUUGUAAGAGGAUUCUACCCUUUUUUAUGAUCAUGAUGAGAGAUUAUGCUUCCCUGAGGGAGAUAUAACAAACUUUGUGGGAUUUACACGAGUAGUUUUGGUCAAUACUGUUGUAAUGGCAAUAUGUGGUGGUUCUGUUUUGAGCCAUAUGUAGGUUGUAUUAGAUAUGAAGUGGAGAUCUCCUGACCUCUGCAGAUGGGAAGGUAUAGCCCCUGGGAGAAUUUUGAGUGAAGUCUGAGAUCUUAGUAAAAUGUUUCAACUUGGAUAUUAGAUUAGGAAUAUUUUCAAGUUUGUCUCUCUUUCAGCCAGUUAUUGGUGUGAUCAUGCCAUGACAAUGUCUAUACUCUUGAGAUUUUUCUGCUUGUGGGAGAACUCUCAGUUGCAAAAAAUUUGGCAGGAUUUGCCUUUUAUGUCUUCAUUUAUUGGACAAGACAGUGCAGUAGUAGCAGUUUCAUAGCAUUUCUCUGUUAUUUUUGGCUAUUUGAUAACAUUGUGUAUGAAGGACUGAUGAAGUGAAUACAUCCCUAGCUUCAGUUGUAUGGACUUGCCCUAUAUGCCCUUUACUUGUGUGUUAGCUUUCCCAUAUCCAAGGACCAGAUUAUACUUAGCACUAUGUUUCAUCUCUUAAACAGUCUCUCCUGUAGUAGCUUCUUUAGUGGAAAAGAAUAAUUGCCCUUUGGGGCAAGUGUAGAAUAUAAUAUAAGCCCAUGCCCCAAGUCAUGUGAAUGAGCCUAAUAAAGGAAUUUUCAAUAAGUUUAUUAACUACUAUAGCUUGGCAACAGUGUGGCAGUUGUAUCUUCUCUUGUGAUAGUUUAGUUUGACACAAUAGUAAGGAUAUAACAUUAUUUAUAUUAACUAUUUAUCUACUUCAUUACAUAUUUGUUUUUGUAUAGAGUACAGUGAAAUAAAAAUACCAAAAGAGCCAUUUUUCUGAACACUAUGAAUGACCAUUUUUGGAAUAAGGAAAGGACAGUCAAAUGAAGAAGCAUACUGUAGUACCUAUAUUUUAAUUUCUUAUGUUGGUAAAUAUGGAUAUAUAGCAAUACAUAUCAACAGGGAUUCAUAAUUCAAACAUCAGAUCUACUCCAAUUUCAAGAGCUAUUUCAACUUUUAUGACAUGACAAAAAAAAAGAAUUCUGAAGAUGAUCUUUUAAUAUUGCUGAAUUGACCAUAGCACAUAUCAUCAUAAUAUGUUAUCCCAUCAAAAACAUUUUGGGUGUAAGAAGUGUAGCCGGGUCUCGUGCCUGUUUGUCCGUGAAGGGUUGUGAGAUGUCGUGAGAGCCAGGUCUAGCGCCCUUGUUUGCUCUGACACUUUUAUUCACAAAUCGCUCCACG